rnacentral:ncRNA from 2 species
UAGAAACGAUUUCGUUCUCAAAGUAUAAGUCAGAAAUUGGUCUGAUGUUUCUACCUGCCACCGGAAUGGCAGACUAUUUGGAGGCCCUAUGCUAAA